UCAAUGAAAGAUGUGCAGUGUCACAUGUUUAGUGUGAAUUGUCACAUGACCAGAGCUGUUUACUUCCUGGUUGCACCAUGAGAAGAGGAUGGCUGCAUCAAAGCUCCCAAACAGAAGUGUCACUUUGAGUCAAGUUCUGGAUAUGUUGAUCUAGGUGACUGCCCAGACAAGGCAUGCAACAUUGCAGUUAUCCCUCAAAAUGAGAAAGAUGCUAUCCUGAGUGAUUGUGAUAGCGAUGGGUCAGAUAUGGACUAUGGACAGGCCAUUUGCCAGCCAGGCUGUUGAAUGCAUAUGCUGAACCUAUGCAAACAGAUCAUGAUGGGAACAACGUUAUCAGUGAUGAUGACCUAUGUCCUGAUGUGAUUCCAAAACACAUAGUAUACAGCCCAAAUAUGCAAAAGUUUGGCACGAAACCACUGAGCCACGGAAGGAGAUCUUUACUGGCUGCUACUGUUGAAGAUCAGGCAAGAUAUGACAAAGCUUCUCACUGGCCAAUCAACACGAUGCACCGGUUCCAGAGAAGUCGUCAUUGUGACAAACGUACUACCUAUGCAUGUGAGAAAUGCAAAGCGCCACUGCACAUUGAGUGCUUCAAGAUAUACCAUGGACAGUAGAAAAGGAGAUAAGACCGAAUGAAAAAGGGCUGAAAAAGACAAAAGAA